rnacentral:lncRNA from 1 species
GUGGCUAGCGCCUCUCCUAAUAGUAUGGUGCCUACAGGGUUUCUCUUAUACCUUGACCUUGAAGUCUGAGCUUCGUUCAAAUAGAACUUCAUCUUUUUUUAACAACCUGCUUAUUGUUUUUAAAAUAACUGUCCCAGAGCUGUGGCAGAGCACUUGACAAUUAGGGGAAAUUCCAGCCUGUUCUUCAUAAAAAGCCAUCUCAAUUACACUGAUUUGGAAAAUGUUAUAAAUAGGGGGCUCGUCCGGGACACAGCUUGCGGGCAAUGGAUGUGUUCUUGAUGCUUUGAUCUGAAGCAUGUUUUCUGCUGCCCCUGUCACAGGCUCCACAGCAGAGUGGUUCUUCUGAUGAGGACGUGAGGCCACAGCAGAAAACAGACAGGAAGGGAGCAGCGGACUCCAGGCUUCUUCCAGGAGAUGACAGUGAUGGAUUAGUGAUGCUCACAAGUUCUUUGAUGCUUCUGCCAUCAAGAGAUGGGGUGUGUAAUCCCCUCCCCUUGAGCCCAGACUGACGGGCUUUGACUAAUAGUGUACAGUGAAACUGGUACCGUUGUCAUUUCUGAUAUGUCAAGGUAGUUUCUAUUUCCUCUCUUUUGGAGACCUGAGCUGCUACAUCCUAAGCUGGUUACAUAAGAAGCCUGAGGCUGCCAUGCUAUGAGGAGGCACAAGUCACCAUGUGGAGAGGCCAUGUGGACAGAGAGUGAGCUAUCUCUUCAGCCCCCAGCCCUUGGAGUCAUCACAGUUUAGCUUCAAACAACACUGAGCAAAGCAAAGUCACCUCUGCAGAACCCUGUGUGAAUUCCUGACACGUGAAAUUUCAAGAUACAGUAAUAAUCCAUAAUUGUAAACCAUUUAGUUUUGGGGAGGUGUUGUUACACAGAAAUAGAGAGCAAGCUUAUUGACUCUGUAAUCUUACAGGUGAGUGAAUUAGGUAAAGGUGAGGAAAGAAAUGACAUUCCAGGUGGAAGAGAAUAAACAGUGUAUUGUUUGUUUGUUUUUUGAGACAGAGUCUUGCUCU